UAUACGGUGAAACUGCGAAUGGCUCAUUAAAUCAGUUAUCGUUUAUUUGAUAGUACCUUACUACAUGGAUAACCGUGGUAAUUCUAGAGCUAAUACAUGCUAAAAACCUCGACUUCGGAAGGGGUGUAUUUAUUAGAUAAAAAACCAAUGCCCUUCGGGGCUCCUUGGUGAUUCAUAAUAACUCAACGAAUCGCAUGGCCUUGCGCCGGCGAUGGUUCAUUCAAAUUUCUGCCCUAUCAACUUUCGAUGGUAGGAUAGUGGCCUACCAUGGUUUUAACGGGUAACGGGGAAUUAGGGUUCUAUUCCGGAGAGGGAGCCUGAGAAACGGCUACCACAUCCAAGGAAGGCAGCAGGCGCGCAAAUUACCCAAUCCCAACACGGGGAGGUAGUGACAAUAAAUACUGAUGUGGAGCUCUUUAGGGUUUCACAAUUGGAAUGAGUACAAUUUAAAUCCCUUAACGAGGAACAAUUGGAGGGCAAGUCUGGUGCCAGCAGCCGCGGUAAUUCCAGCUCCAAUAGCGUAUAUUAAAGUUGUUGCAGUUAAAAAGCUCGUAGUUGAACCUUGGGCCUGGCUGACCGGUCCGCCUCACCGCGAGCACUGGUUCGGCCGGGCCUUUCCUUCUGGGGAGCCGCAUGCCCUUCACUGGGUGUGUCGGGGAACCAGGACUUUUACUUUGAAAAAAUUAGAGUGUUCAAAGCAGGCCUAUGCUCGAAUACAUUAGCAUGGAAUAAUAGAAUAGGACGUGUGGUUCUAUUUUGUUGGUUUCUAGGACCGCCGUAAUGAUUAAUAGGGAUAGUCGGGGGCAUCAGUAUUCAUUUGUCAGAAGUGAAAUUCUUGGAUUUAUUGAAGACUAACUACUGCGAAAGCAUUUGCCAAGGAUGUUUUCAUUAAUCAGUGAACGAAAGUUAGGGGAUCGAAGACGAUCCGAUACCGUCGUUNUCGUAACCNANACUAUCCGAANAAGGAUCGACGGUGUUUCUUUUU
rnacentral:rRNA from 1 species